GACGAACGCUGGCGGCGUGCCUAAUACAUGCAAGUUGAGCGAUGAAGAUUGGUGCCUGCACCAAUUUGAAGAGCAGCGAACGGGUGAGUAACGCGUGGGGAAUCUGCCUUUGAGCGGGGGACAACAUUUGGAAACGAAUGCUAAUACCGCAUAACAACUUUAAACAUAAGUUUUAAGUUUGAAAGAUGCAAUUGCAUCACUCAAAGAUGAUCCCGCGUUGUAUUAGCUAGUUGGUGAGGUAAAGGCUCACCAAGGCGAUGAUACAUAGCCGACCUGAGAGGGUGAUCGGCCACAUUGGGACUGAGACACAGCCCAAACUCCUACGGGAGGCAGCAGUAGGGAAUCUUCGGCAAUAGACGAAAGUCUGACCGAGCAACGCCGCGUGAGUGAAGAAGGUUUUCGGAUCGUAAAACUCUGUUGGUAGAGAAGAACGUUGGUGAGAGUGGAAAGCUCAUCAAGUGACGGUAACUACCCAGAAAGGGACGGCUAACUACGUG
rnacentral:rRNA from 1 species